UGUUGACGGAAGUUAAGCAACCUUUCCCAAAGUCUCAUAGUGGAAUGUGCUGGGGCCACAGGCAGGUCAGGCCAGGCUUUCUGGGGAGUGAAUGCUCUCUGCCAGUGGCGGAUGGAACUGGUAGACACGUCCCCCGGAUUCCUCGCCUGCAAGUGGGAUGGUGCCAGGAAAGUUCUACACCAUCCUUCCCAGGUCCCAGGAGGACAAGCACAGUUGUCCACAAGUGUGGAUCAGUGUUAAAAGUGCUUCAUGGAGAAAUGGAGGCCUGAAAGCGACUCUGAAGGAGGAGUGGGGCUCAGCAAACAGCAGACGAGUUUCAAUCCAAGCACCCAUUACCCCCCUAACACACGGCAUACGUGCAUCUCAUCUCCUCCUGUGUCGCUAAGAAGCUACCCAUAUGUCUGUCAUUAAUUCUCCAGAAUCCUUGGACACACCCCUCUGCAGAGCUUUCUAACAGGAAAUACAAGUCUCAGAUUUUUUUUUAAGUUAAAAUUGAGUGCAGCACUCAUACCUUUCUUCGAGCAUGAACCGUCAAUCAACACUGCCUCAUGAGCUACUGCUCUCCUGCUCUUUGAAAAGACAAAUCCUUAUUUCUUUGUAGUGAUCCAGAAGGCAGUGGGAAGAAUGACAGGUGCUUGGUUAUCUUCAAUUUAAUCUCUACCUUUCAAUGGGGCUAGUGCAAGCUAGGGCCAUUUUACUGCACCCAAAGGAAUUUAAGACAUUUCUAUUAUCUCUAAAGAAUCCAGAUUAACAUGCCUUCUUGGUGGGCAGGGAGACCAGCUAUGAAUUCUAGGAUCUCAAUUCAAAUGCUUUUGAAUUCUUCCUGCUUGUUCAGUUAAUUACAUA
rnacentral:lncRNA from 10 species